rnacentral:sRNA from 1 species
CAAAAAUAAAACAAAC